GGAAGGAUCAUUAUUGAAUGAACUUGGUGUGGUUGUUGCUGGCCCUCUAGGGGGCAUGUGCACACCCGCCAUCCUCAUCUCUCCACCUGUGCACCUCUUGUAGAUCUGGAUAGACUUUCCGAGGCAACUCGGUCGGGAAGAUUGCUGCACUCUGUGAGCCAGCUUUCUUUGCAUGUCCAGGUCUAUGUUUUUCAUAUACCCCUAUAGAAUGUAACAGAAUGUAUCAUCGGGCUUUGUGCCUAUAAACCUAAUACAACUUUCAGCAACGGAUCUCUUGGCUCUCGCAUCGAUGAAGAACGCAGCGAAAUGCGAUAAGUAAUGUGAAUUGCAGAAUUCAGUGAAUCAUCGAAUCUUUGAACGCACCUUGCGCUCCUUGGUAUUCCGAGGAGCAUGCCUGUUUGAGUGUCAUUAAAUUCUCAACCUUAUUAGCUUUUGUUAAUAAUGGAUUGGAUGUGGGGGUUUCUUUUGCUGGUUUCAUCACAGAGAUCAGCUCCCCUUAAAUGCAUUAGCUGGUGCCCCGCGUGGACCAUCUAUUGGUGUGAUAAUUAUCUACGCCGUGGAUGUCUGCAAUUAUAUGGGUUUUGCACUGCUUCUAACCGUCUGUUCAUUCGGACAAUAUUGACAAUUUGACCUCAAAUCAGGUAGGACUACCCGCUGAACUUAAGCAUAUCAAUAAGCGGAGGAAAAGAAACUAACAAGGAUUCCCCUAGUAACUGCGAGUGAAGCGGGAAAAGCUCAAAUUUAAAAUCUGGCGGUCUCCGGCCGUCCGAGUUGUAAUCUAGAGAAGUGUUAUCCGCGCUGGACCGUGUACAAGUCUCCUGGAAUGGAGCGUCAUAGAGGGUGAGAAUCCCGUCUUUGACACGGACUGCCAGGGCUUUGUGAUGCGCUCUCAAAGAGUCGAGUUGUUUGGGAAUGCAGCUCAAAAUGGGUGGUAAAUUCCAUCUAAAGCUAAAUAUUGGCGAGAGACCGAUAGCGAACA
rnacentral:rRNA from 1 species